UUGACCUCGGAUCAGGUAGGGAUACCCGCUGAACUUAAGCAUAUCAAUAAGCGGAGGAAAAGAAACCAACAGGGAUUGCUCUAGUAACGGCGAGUGAAGCAGCAAUAGCUCAAAUUUGAAAUCUGGCGUCUUCGGCGUCCGAGUUGUAAUUUGUAGAGGAUGCUUCUGGGCAGCCACCGACCUAAGUUCCUUGGAACAGGACGUCAUAGAGGGUGAGAAUCCCGUAUGCGGUCGGAAAGGCACCCUACACGUAGCUCCUUCGACGAGUCGAGUUGUUUGGGAAUGCAGCUCUAAAUGGGAGGUAAAUUUCUUCUAAAGCUAAAUAUUGGCCAGAGACCGAUAGCGCACAAGUAGAGUGAUCGAAAGAUGAAAAGCACUUUGGAAAGAGAGUUAAAAAGCACGUGAAAUUGUUGAAAGGGAAGGGAUUGCAACCAGACUUGCUCGCGGUGUUCCGCCGGUCUUCUGACCGGUUCACUCGCCGCGUUGCAGGCCAGCAUCGUCUGGUGCCGCUGGAUAAGACUGGAGGAAUGUAGCUCCCUCGGGAGUGUUAUAGCCUCUAGUGAUGCAGCGAGCGCCGGG
rnacentral:rRNA from 1 species